rnacentral:tRNA from 1 species
GGGGGUGUAGCUCAAGUGGUAGAGUAUGUGCUUAGCAAGUGUAAACACAUGAGUUCAAACCCCAGUACCUCUA